CAGAGGAGAAAACGUCGGCACAGUGGUUAAGUAAUUUGACCAAUGCUCGCAGAUCACAAGCGAGGAAGCCUAGCCUGGGACCCACACAGCUGGUUCCUGAGCCUACACAAUUCACCACUACACAAGACUGAGGAAGUUGAGGCACAGAGAGAGGCAGGAACUUGCCCCAGGCCCCACGACUGUGAGCUCACCUGGGUUGAGGGCCGUGAUUCAAUGUCUCUGGACCCCCAGGAACCAGCACAGAGGAGGCACAGAGGAAGGACCAGCAGGGCCUGGCUCACAGCACCUUCUGGAAAGCCAUUACAGCAGCUACAGCAGCACGCGCAGCGUUAAUUUAUGAAAAUCUCAGCUUGUAAAAGCCCAGCUCGCAGGCAGAGCCGGAGGAGGCAGAGGCACUCUGCACUGGAGAUGCGUGAACUGCUAUUUGCUUCUCUUACAGCCACAAAAGGAAAUGCUGGCGAGGGCUUCA